rnacentral:rRNA from 1 species
GACGGACGCUGGCGGCGUGCUUAACACAUGCAAGUCGAACGGAGAGGCCCCAGCUUGCUGGGGUACUCGAGUGGCGAACGGGUGAGUAACACGUGGGUGAUCUGCCCUGCACUCUGGGAUAAGCCUGGGAAACUGGGUCUAAUACCGGAUAGGACCGUGCUUUAGUGUGUGCGGUGGAAAGUUUUUCGGUGCAGGAUGAGCCCGCGGCCUAUCAGCUUGUUGGUGGGGUAAUGGCCUACCAAGGCGGCGACGGGUAGCCGGCCUGAGAGGGUGUACGGCCACAUUGGGACUGAGACACGGCCCAGACUCCUACGGGAGGCAGCAGUGGGGAAUAUUGCACAAUGGGCGCAAGCCUGAUGCAGCGACGCCGCGUGGGGGAUGACGGCCUUCGGGUUGUAAACCCCUUUCGGCAGGGACGAAGCUUUUGUGACGGUACCUGCAUAAGAAGCACCGGCUAACUACGUG